GACGAACGCUGGCGGCGUGCCUAAUACAUGCAAGUUGAGCGCUGAAGGUUGGUACUUGUACCAACUGGAUGAGCAGCGAACGGGUGAGUAACGCGUGGGGAAUCUGCCUUUGAGCGGGGGACAACAUUUGGAAACGAAUGCUAAUACCGCAUAAAAACUUUAAACACAAGUUUUAAGUUUGAAAGAUGCAAUUGCAUCACUCAAAGAUGAUCCCGCGUUGUAUUAGCUAGUUGGUGAGGUAAAGGCUCACCAAGGCGAUGAUACAUAGCCGACCUGAGAGGGUGAUCGGCCACAUUGGGACGGAGACACGGCCCAAACUCCUACGGGAGGCAGCAGUAGGGAAUCUUCGGCAAUGGACGAAAGUCUGACCGAGCAACGCCGCGUGAGUGAAGAAGGUUUUCGGAUCGUAAAACUCGGUUGGUAGAGAAGAACGUUGGUGAGAGUGGAAAGCUCAUCAAGUGACGGUAACUACACAGAAAGGGACGGCUAACUACGUG
rnacentral:rRNA from 1 species